rnacentral:rRNA from 1 species
UGGAUAACACUUGGAAACAGGUGCUAAUACCGUAUAACAAUCGAAACCGCAUGGUUUUGAUUUGAAAGGCGCUUUCGGGUGUCGCUGAUGGAUGGACCCGCGGUGCAUUAGCUAGUUGGUGAGGUAACGGCUCACCAAGGCCACGAUGCAUAGCCGACCUGAGAGGGUGAUCGGCCACAUUGGGACUGAGACACGGCCCAAACUCCUACGGGAGGCAGCAGUAGGGAAUCUUCGGCAAUGGACGAAAGUCUGACCGAGCAACGCCGCGUGAGUGAARAAGGUUUUCGGAUCGUAAAACUCUGUUGUUAGAGAAGAACAAGGAUGAGAGUAACUGUUCAUCCCUUGACGGUAUCUAACCAGAAAGCCACGGCUAACUACGUGCCACAGCCGCGGUAAUACGUAGGUGGCAAGCGUUGUCCGGAUUUAUUGGGCGUAAAGCGAGCGCAGGCGGUUUCUUAAGUCUGAUGUGAAAGCCCCCGGCUCAACCGGGGAGGGUCAUUGGAAACUGGGAGACUUGAGUGCAGAAGAGGAGAGUGGAAUUCCAUGUGUAGCGGUGAAAUGCGUAGAUAUAUGGAGGAACACCAGUGGCGAAGGCGGCUCUCUGGUCUGUACUGACGCUGAGGCUCGAAAGCGUGGGGAGCAAACAGGAUUAGAUACCCUGGUAGUCCACGCCGUAAACGAUGAGUGCUAAGUGUUGGAGGGUUUCCGCCCUUCAGUGCUGCAGCUAACGCAUUAAGCACUCCGCCUGG